rnacentral:rRNA from 1 species
GCAGCCGCGGUAAUUCCAGCUCCAAUAGCGUAUAUUAAAAUUGUUGCAGUUAAAAAGCUCGUAGUUGAAUUUCUGCUGCAUUGCUUGUGUCCCUCUGGGGUCUGUGCAUGUGGCUUUUUUCGGACGGAGUUUCUUUGUCUGAAUGUUUACUUUGAGAAAAUUAGAGUGCUCAAAGCAGGCUUUCGCCUUGAAUAGUUUAGCAUGGAAUAAUAAAGUAGGACUUUGGUUCUAUUUUGUUGGUUUUAGGUACCAAAGUAAUGGUUAAUAGGAACAGUUGGGGGCAUUCGUAUUUAACUGUCAGAGGUGAAAUUCUUAGAUUUGUUAAAGACGAACUACUGCGAAAGCAUUUGCCAAGGAUGUUUUCAUUAAUCAAGAACGAAAGUUAGGGGAUCGAAGACGAUCAGAUACCGUCGUAGUC